rnacentral:rRNA from 1 species
AACGUAGGAGACAAACGUUAUCCGGAGUUACUGGGCGUAAAGGGCGUGUAGGCGGUCUGUUAAGUCUGGCGUGAAAGCUCUCGGCUAAACCGGGAGAGGUCGUUGGAUACUGGCAGACUAGAGGACGGUAGAGGCGUGUGGAAUUCCGGGUGUAGUGGUGAAAUGCGUAGAGAUCCGGAGGAACACCAGUGGCGAAGGCGACACGCUGGGCCGUACCUGACGCUAAAGCGCGACAGCAUGGGGAGCAAACGGG